UACGAAGGGUGCAAGCGUUACCCGGAUUUACUGGGCGUAAAGGGCGUGCAGGUGGCUGUGUAAGUGGUGCGUGAAAGCGCUCGGCUCAACCGGGCGAGGGCGUGCCAAACUGCACAACUAGAAACAGGCAGAGGAAAGUGGAAUUCGGGGUGUAGUGGUGAAAUGCGUAGAGAUCCCGAGGAACUCCUGUGGCGAAGGCGACUUCCUGGACCAAUACUGACGCUCAGGUGCGAAAGCGUGGGGAGCAAACAGG
rnacentral:rRNA from 1 species